CGAGGCGAACCGGGGAAACUGAAACAUCUCAGUACCCCGAGGAAAAGAAAUCAACCAAGAUUCCCCCAGUAGCGGCGAGCGAACGGGGAGCAGCCCAGAGUCAACAUCAAUAUUUACCACAGGAGAAGGGUCUGGAAAAGCCGGCAAUAAAGGGUGAUAGCCCCGUAUCUAAAGCGGUAAGUGUUGUGAACUCGAAGAGUAGGGCGGGACACGUGUUAUCCUGUCUGAAUAUGGGGGGACCAUCCUCCAAGGCUAAAUACUCCUGACUGACCGAUAGUGAACCAGUACCGUGAGGGAAAGGCGAAAAGAACCCCGGCGAGGGGAGUGAAAUAGAACCUAAAACCGUGUACGUACAAGCAGUAGGAGCACCCGAAAGGGUGUGACUGCGUACCUUUUGUAUAAUGAGUCAGCGACUUAUAUUCUGUAGCAAGGUUAACCGCAUAGGGGAGCCGUAGGGAAACCGAGUCUUAACUGGGCGUUAAGUUGCAGGGUAUAGACCCGAAACCCGGUGAUCUAGCCAUAAGCAGGUUGAAG
rnacentral:rRNA from 1 species